UUGACAACUAGUGUGCAUGUUUUACAAUGCCUCGUUCACUAGACUUAAAUUCUUCUUAACCUAUUCAUUUAUCACUGAAACCGGUUCAAAUUAGAUAUUCUGUCCGACAAACAGAGGCAAACGAGAACGCGCGAGAGGAAAAUGAACAGAUUAUUUGUCCCAAACUAGAUUUCCUAAACGAAGCCUUAAUUAACGCUAUCACAGCGUCUUGUUAUUUACAGGGGUUGUGUUAAUCUAUUCAGGAUAGACCGGAGGAAAUAGGACAUUCUUGUCGUGAAAUGUCUUUUCAGUGUUGCCGUUUUACCUCGGUUUCAAAAUGAGUUCUGGUAAAUAUGCAAUUAACUUUUGGUAUGGAAAUAAUCUAAAUUCAUUUGCAAGACAUCGUACAACUAAAAUUCAUUUCCAUAUGGUUAUGCAAUAGAACUCUUUGUGAAACAAAUGACCUAUUCAACUGAAACAAAAAUUCAGGUUCCUCGCGAUGAAGCUCUCACGUGCAAAUCUUAAGAUGUGAUUCUUUUCCCCUGGGUCGUGCAUCUUAUUUGCAUUUUAUUCUUUCGUUCCUCGUGGUCGAGAAGGCUUUUCUUCCUCGACGGAAGGAAUCUUCUUAACAAGUGAAGGAAGACGCCGUGAAAGCCGUCAGCAUGAAAGGAAUUGUGGAGUAUGUUUCAACGGGAAGACUUCAUAUGGACCAACUACUCAAUACCUGGUUUAUCCUGCUUCGAAGGAUGAACGAAAAUGUACGGACAGUUAAGUUGUGGGAAAUAGCGUGAGUAAACUCAAAGUAAGUUGCCGCACAAUUGUUAAAGCGAUGAAAACGAAUCGUUGGUUAAAGCUACUGACUCAAAUAAUGUCACUGAAAGCAUUAUAUUUAGUGGAUGUGAGGUUUUUCGAAGGGGCAUUUCUUGAGUAAAUUACUCUUACAUUUAUUUCCAGUAACGAAGUUCCUUUAAGGUGAACCAAAAAUAUCCAUCGUAUAGUAGAUUAGAACAGAACUCAAAGAAACUAGAAGAAGAAUUGUUGGCUUAGUAUUUUUGAAAAUUGCUCAUAAGAUAGUGAAUGCAUGCAGUAAAAUAUUUGAUGCCUAAGGUUACUUCUGGGUUGGCACUUUGUACCAUUGGCGCUGAAAACAUCGCUAAACAAAAUCAAUCAGGUUUAUUGGAAUGACAAGUGCUGUGGUGCUGUUCUUGAAUGACUCGCUUUUAAGCAGUUCACAAUUCGAACAUUUUUCCACGAGAUAUUAGCAAAUCCUUAGGGCUUAUCAAAAACAGAAUCGAAGGCUGAAUUAUGUUUCAAGUUUCUGUUUAUAUUGUAUAGCGUUUCUCUUGCGCAGAGAACAUAGAGCCUAAGAGAAUUUGUUCUGAUGACAUUUACUCAUCCAAGCAUUGCUAUUCUCUUUUUAAUUUUGUAAGCUGAAACACCAUUAAAACAACACUUUGAUAAGGCACGGCGGGAACAUACCACUCGUAGAGAUCUAGUACGCGAAGGUGAAGCACCGUUAAAGAAUCUUUAUAAGAGCAUGGAAAGAAGAAUGCGUGUUGAAAGAAUUCCAUAAAGUGUCUUCAACAAAGCUUACUGAAUACGGUGGAUCGAAAUCCAGAACACAGACUCCGCAGAGGAAAAGAGUUCAUAAAGAAGUCAGGAAUAUAAGACGAGAUAGUUACAGGUUAACAUAACUUAAGAUAAUGUUUUCCAGUCAUCAGAAAGAAUCUACCAAACUUUAGUCAAGGAAUAACUGUUCUCACAAAACCUGAGAGAAUCAAGUCGUAAAACUUAAACUUAAAAAAAAAACAAGGAAAGAAAUGGAACAUUGUCAGGAGACGAGAGAAUUAUUUUCUAAUACUCUAGCAUCCAAUUGUCUGACAUAAUAAAUUCAAUUUUUGUUUAGGUCAACCAUUGUUUCAGCUGCUGUCAUACUGAGGUAUUUUGGACUGAAAAACACUUCCAAAGACUGUUGAUAUCAAUCUCGCCUUCAUCGUUUUAACUUAGUGCCUUGCAAAAACGUUUGAAUUCGUGCAAAAUAUUCCUACUAAAU